UGCAAGUCUCAGUACAUGCCGCACUAAGGUGAAACCGCAAAAGGCUCAUUAAAUCAGUUAUGGUUCCUUGGAUCUUAAACAGUUACUUGGAUAACUGUGGUAAUUCUAGAGCUAAUACAUGCAAACAAGUCCCGACCAGAGAUGGGAGGGACGCUUUUAUUAGAUCAAAACCGAUCGGCGUCCGGCUCCGGCCGGCGCCGUCUCUUUUGGUGACUCUGGAUAACUUUUAGCCGAUCGCACGGUCACAGUACCGGCGACGCAUCUUUCAAAUGUCUGACUUAUCAACUGUCGAUGGUAGGCUCUGCGCCUACCAUGGUUGUAACGGGUAACGGGGAAUCAGGGUUCGAUUCCGGAGAGGGAGCCUGAGAAACGGCUACCACAUCCAAGGAAGGCAGCAGGCGCGCAAAUUACCCACUCCCGGCACGGGGAGGUAGUGACGAAAAAUAACGAUACGGGACUCAUCCGAGGCCCCGUAAUCGGAAUGAGUACACUUUAAAUACUUUAACGAGUACCAAUUGGAGGGCAAGUCUGGUGCCAGCAGCCGCGGUAAUUCCAGCUCCAAUAGCGUAUAUUAAAGUUGUUGCGGUUAAAAAGCUCGUAGUUGGAUCUGUGUGCCACGCUGUCGGUUCACCGCCCGUCGGUGUCAACUGGCAUGUCUGUGGGACGUCCUGCCGGUGGCGGUACGGGCUGCCGGCGCUGCGUAGGGGCACAACCCCGAAGCACGCCGGCGUGUCCCGGUCCGCCGAUCCAAUCCCGCCGCGGUGCUCUUCACUGAGUGUCGAGGUGGGCCGGCACGUUUACUUUGAACAAAUUAGAGUGCUCA
rnacentral:rRNA from 5 species